rnacentral:rRNA from 1 species
GAUGAACGCUGGCGGCGUGCUUAACACAUGCAAGUCGAACGAGAAGUGAAGACGGAAACCUUCGGGCGGAAGGCUUUAUUUCGAGUGGCGGACGGGUGAGUAACGCGUGGGUAACCUGCCUCAUACAGGGGGAUAACAGUUUGAAACGACUGUUAAUACCGCAUAAGACCACAGCACCGCAUGGUGCGGGGGUAAAAACUCCGGUGGUAUGAGAUGGACCCGCGUUCGAUUAGCCAGUUGGCGGGGUAACGGCCCACCAAAGCGACGAUCGAUAGCCGAUCUGAGAGGAUGACCGGCGACAUUGGGACUGAGACACGGCCCAAACUCCUACGGGAGGCAGCAGUGGGGAAUAUUGCACAAGGGGGGAAACCCUGAUGCAGCGACGCCGCGUGAGUGAAGAAGUAUUUCGGUACGUAAAGCUCUAUCAGCAGGGAAGAAAAUGACGGUACCUGAGGAAGAAGCCCCGGCUAACUACGUG